rnacentral:rRNA from 1 species
GACGAACGCUGGCGGCGUGCCUAAUACAUGCAAGUUGAGCGCUGAAGGUUGGUACUUGUACCGACUGGAUGAGCAGCGAACGGGUGAGUAACGCGUGGGGAAUCUGCCUUUGAGCGGGGGACAACAUUUGGAAACGAAUGCUAAUACCGCAUAAAAACUUUAAACACAAGUUUUAAGUUUGAAAGAUGCAAUUGCAUCACUCAAAGAUGAUCCCGCGUUGUAUUAGCUAGUUGGUGAGGUAAAGGCUCACCAAGGCGAUGAUACAUAGCCGACCUGAGAGGGUGAGCGGCCACAUUGGGACUGAGACACGGCCCAAACGCCUACGGGAGGCAGCAGUAGGGAAUCUUCGGCAAUGGACGAAAGUCUGACCGAGCAACGCCGCGUGAGUGAAGAAGGUUGUCGGAUCGUAAAACUCUGUUGGUAGAGAAGAACGUUGGUGAGAGUGGAAAGCUCAUCAAGUGACGGUAACUACCCAGAAAGGGACGGCUAACUACGUG